rnacentral:rRNA from 1 species
ACGGAGGGGGCUAGCGUUGUUCGGAAUUACUGGGCGUAAAGCGCACGUAGGCGGACCAUCAAGUCAGAGGUGAAAUCCCGGAGCUCAACUCCGGAACUGCCUUUGAAACUGCUGGUCUGGAGAUCGAGAGAGGUGAGUGGAAUUCCGAGUGUAGAGGUGAAAUUCGUAGAUAUUCGGAGGAACACCAGUGGCGAAGGCGGCUCACUGGCUCGAUACUGACGCUGAGGUGCGAAAGCGUGGGGAGCAAACAGG